UGCAAGUCGAGCGGUAGAGAGUGCUUGCACCUCUUGAGAGCGGCGGACGGGUGAGUAAUGCCUAGGAAUCUGCCUGGUAGUGGGGGAUAACGCUCGGAAACGGACGCUAAUACCGCAUACGUCCUACGGGAGAAAGCAGGGGACCUUCGGGCCUUGCGCUAUCAGAUGAGCCUAGGUCGGAUUAGCUAGUUGGUGAGGUAAUGGCUCACCAAGGCGACGAUCCGUAACUGGUCUGAGAGGAUGAUCAGUCACACUGGAACUGAGACACGGUCCAGACUCCUACGGGAGGCAGCAGUGGGGAAUAUUGGACAAUGGGCGAAAGCCUGAUCCAGCCAUGCCGCGUGUGUGAAGAAGGUCUUCGGAUUGUAAAGCACUUUAAGUUGGGAGGAAGGGCCAUUACCUAAUACGUGAUGGUUUUGACGUUACCGACAGAAUAAGCACCGGCUAACUCUGUGCCAGCAGCCGCGGUAAUACAGAGGGUGCAAGCGUUAAUCGGAAUUACUGGGCGUAAAGCGCGCGUAGGUGGUUCGUUAAGUUGGAUGUGAAAGCCCCGGGCUUAACCUGGGAACUGCAUUCAAAACUGACGAGCUAGAGUAUGGUAGAGGGUGGUGGAAUUUCCUGUGUGUUA
rnacentral:rRNA from 1 species